rnacentral:rRNA from 1 species
UUAAGUUAUUAAGGGCGCACGGUGGAUGCCUUGGCACUAGAAGCCGAUGAAGGACGUUACUAACGACGAUAUGCUUUGGGAAGCUGUAAGUAAGCUUUGAUCCAGAGAUUUCCGAAUGGGGAAACCCAGCAUGAGUUAUGUCAUGUUAUCGAUAUGUGAAUACAUAGCAUAUCAGAAGGCACACCCGGAGAACUGAAACAUCUUAGUACCCGGAGGAAGAGAAAGAAAAUUCGAUUCCCUUAGUAGCGGCGAGCGAAACGGGAAGAGCCCAAACCAACAAGCUUGCUUGUUGGGGUUGUAGGACACUCUAUACGGAGUUACAAAGGACGACAUUAGACGAAUCAUCUGGAAAGAUGAAUCAAAGAAGGUAAUAAUCCUGUAGUCGAAAAUGUUGUCUCUCUUGAGUGGAUCCUGAGUACGACGGAGCACGUGAAAUUCCGUCGGAAUCUGGGAGGACCAUCUCCUAAGGCUAAAUACUCUCUAGUGACCGAUAGUGAACCAGUACCGUGAGGGAAAGGUGAAAAGCACCCCGGAAGGGGAGUGAAAUAGAACCUGAAACCGUGUGCUUACAAGUAGUCAGAGCCCGUUAAUGGGUGAUGGCGUGCCUUUUGUAGAAUGAACCGGCGAGUUACGAUUUGAUGCAAGGUUAAGCAGUAAAUGUGGAGCCGUAGCGAAAGCGAGUCUGAAUAGGGCGUUUAGUAUUUGGUCGUAGACCCGAAACCAGGUGAUCUACCCUUGGUCAGGUUGAAGUUCAGGUAACACUGAAUGGAGGACCGAACCGACUUACGUUGAAAAGUGAGCGGAUGAACUGAGGGUAGCGGAGAAAUUCCAAUCGAACCUGGAGAUAGCUGGUUCUCUCCGAAAUAGCUUUAGGGCUAGCCUCAAGUGAUGAUUAUUGGAGGUAGAGCACUGUUUGGACGAGGGGCCCCUCUCGGGUUACCGAAUUCAGACAAACUCCGAAUGCCAAUUAAUUUAACUUGGGAGUCAGAACAUGGGUGAUAAGGUCCGUGUUCGAAAGGGAAACAGCCCAGACCACCAGCUAAGGUCCCAAAAUAUAUGUUAAGUGGAAAAGGAUGUGGCGUUGCCCAGACAACUAGGAUGUUGGCUUAGAAGCAGCCAUCAUUUAAAGAGUGCGUAAUAGCUCACUAGUCGAGUGACACUGCGCCGAAAAUGUACCGGGGCUAAACAUAUUACCGAAGCUGUGGAUUGUCCUUUGGACAAUGGUAGGAGAGCGUUCUAAGGGCGUUGAAGCAUGAUCGUAAGGACAUGUGGAGCGCUUAGAAGUGAGAAUGCCGGUGUGAGUAGCGAAAGACGGGUGAGAAUCCCGUCCACCGAUUGACUAAGGUUUCCAGAGGAAGGCUCGUCCGCUCUGGGUUAGUCGGGUCCUAAGCUGAGGCCGACAGGCGUAGGCGAUGGAUAACAGGUUGAUAUUCCUGUACCACCUAUAAUCGUUUUAAUCGAUGGGGGGGACGCAGUAGGAUAGGCGAAGCGUGCGAUUGGAUUGCACGUCUAAGCAGUAAGGCUGAGUAUUAGGCAAAUCCGGUACUCGUUAAGGCUGAGCUGUGAUGGGGAGAAGACAUUGUGUCUUCGAGUCGUUGAUUUCACACUGCCGAGAAAAGCCUCUAGAUAGAAAAUAGGUGCCCGUACCGCAAACCGACACAGGUAGUCAAGAUGAGAAUUCUAAGGUGAGCGAGCGAACUCUCGUUAAGGAACUCGGCAAAAUGACCCCGUAACUUCGGGAGAAGGGGUGCUCUUUAGGGUUAACGCCCAGAAGAGCCGCAGUGAAUAGGCCCAAGCGACUGUUUAUCAAAAACACAGGUCUCUGCUAAACCGUAAGGUGAUGUAUAGGGGCUGACGCCUGCCCGGUGCUGGAAGGUUAAGAGGAGUGGUUAGCUUCUGCGAAGCUACGAAUCGAAGCCCCAGUAAACGGCGGCCGUAACUAUAACGGUCCUAAGGUAGCGAAAUUCCUUGUCGGGUAAGUUCCGACCCGCACGAAAGGCGUAACGAUUUGGGCACUGUCUCAACGAGAGACUCGGUGAAAUCAUAGUACCUGUGAAGAUGCAGGUUACCCGCGACAGGACGGAAAGACCCCGUGGAGCUUUACUGUAGCCUGAUAUUGAAAUUCGGCACAGCUUGUACAGGAUAGGUAGGAGCCUUUGAAACGUGAGCGCUAGCUUACGUGGAGGCGCUGGUGGGAUACUACCCUAGCUGUGUUGGCUUUCUAACCCGCACCACUUAUCGUGGUGGGAGACAGUGUCAGGCGGGCAGUUUGACUGGGGCGGUCGCCUCCUAAAAGGUAACGGAGGCGCUCAAAGGUUCCCUCAGAAUGGUUGGAAAUCAUUCAUAGAGUGUAAAGGCAUAAGGGAGCUUGACUGCGAGACCUACAAGUCGAGCAGGGUCGAAAGACGGACUUAGUGAUCCGGUGGUUCCGCAUGGAAGGGCCAUCGCUCAACGGAUAAAAGCUACCCCGGGGAUAACAGGCUUAUCUCCCCCAAGAGUUCACAUCGACGGGGAGGUUUGGCACCUCGAUGUCGGCUCAUCGCAUCCUGGGGCUGUAGUCGGUCCCAAGGGUUGGGCUGUUCGCCCAUUAAAGCGGUACGCGAGCUGGGUUCAGAACGUCGUGAGACAGUUCGGUCCCUAUCCGUCGUGGGCGUAGGAAAUUUGAGAGGAGCUGUCCUUAGUACGAGAGGACCGGGAUGGACAUACCUCUGGUGUACCAGUUGUCGUGCCAACGGCAUAGCUGGGUAGCUAUGUGUGGACGGGAUAAGUGCUGAAAGCAUCUAAGCAUGAAGCCCCCCUCAAGAUGAGAUUUCCCAACUUCGGCUAUAAGAUCCCUCAAAGAUGAUGAGGUUAAUAGGUUCGAGGUGGAAGCAUGGUGACAUGUGGAGCUGACGAAUACUAAUCGAUCGAAGACUUAAUCAA